ensembl:lncRNA novel transcript
CAGUAGUGAAGAUCCCUGGAAGAGGGAGGCCAUGAAGAGGGAUGCAGAUACCUGGCAAGCCCACCUCCCUUCUAUGCCACCUGCCAGCCUUCUCUGACAUUCCCAAACCAGGGACCAACACCGCCAAUCAGGGAAGAUUUACACGCAUUUAAUUAUAGAACCAGUUCAAGUCUCUGGAGGCUGGAUGUCCGGCCUUCACCCUGGCACAGUGGGCUGUGGGCUCUGCGGUCCAGUUGCUAGUCAGGAGACGUCCUGGUGGCCCCUGAUUCGUGUUCACGUUCACAUCACUGUUCCUGCGGUUCUCUACACAUUCACCUUGGUAUUAGCUCUCUUUGCCCCUGGUCCAGCAUACCUCUUCAGCUUCCAAGUAUGGGUCACCUUCCUUAUGUAAAUUUCCUCUUGGGACUGUAUUUUCUUUUAAAUAAAAAUUGGCCUUGUCCGAGAACUU